rnacentral:misc_RNA from 1 species
GAUGAAGAACGCAGUGAAAUGCGAUACGUAGUGUGAAUUGCAGAAUUCAGUGAAUCAUCGAAUCUUUGAACGCACAUUGCACCUCUCGGUAUUCCGGGAGGUAUGCCUGUUCGAGCGUCAUUUGUACCCUCAAGCUCUGCUUGGUGUUGGGUGUUUGUUCCGCCUCUGUGUGUGAUCUCGCCUCAAAACAAUUGGCAGCCGGCGUACUUGUUUCGGAGCGCAGCACAUUUUGCGAUCCAGAUCAACGUACAGCGGCAUCCAAGAAGCCUUAUUUAACGCUCUUGACCUCGGAUCAGGUAGGGAUACCCGCUGAACUUAAGCAUAUCAAUAAGCGGAGGA